rnacentral:pre_miRNA from 1 species
AUGAUACUCCCUUCGUUCGGAAUUACUUGUCGCAGAAAUAGAUGUAUCUAGAUGUAUUUUAGUUCUAGAUACAUCCAUUUCCGAGACAAGUAAUUCCGAACGGAGGGAGUAGUAG